UACGGAGGGGACUAGCGUUGUUCGGAAUUACUGGGCGUAAAGCGCACGUAGGCGGAUUUGUAAGUCAGGGGUGAAAUCCCGGGGCUCAACCUCGGAACUGCCUUUGAUACUGCAAAUCUCGAGUCCGGAAGAGGUGAGUGGAAUUCCUAGUGUAGAGGUGAAAUUCGUAGAUAUUAGGAAGAACACCAGUGGCGAAGGCGGCUCACUGGUCCGGUACUGACGCUGAGGUGCGAAAGCGUGGGAGCAAACAGGG
rnacentral:rRNA from 1 species